AGGACCUCUUUACCUAUGUGUUCCUGUUGCCCCUUCUUCCCAGCCUGAAGCUCAUGCCAGUGCUCUGGAGGCUGACCUGAGGCAGGGAGUCACUGGCCACUUGUUCUUCUUUGGGAUGUAGUCACAUUGGUAACCCUCACAUGGAACUGUUUGACCUGAUGUGUGUGUGGUCUUUCUGGAGCCGAGCGAAGAACACUUCAAGGUGUAAGCACCGAAGUCCAGGGGAAGUCAAAAGUAGGACCACAGAGUUCUGGGGUCUGAUCACACUGUUGGCGGGAGUCCUCGGAACCUGUUCUGCGGUUGGGAGCCUUGCUAUUAAGCAAAUUGUGUUUUGUGCUCUCUUGUUUGUUUUUCACUUCUCUCAAACUUUACUAAUUUUAAUUGAUCUAAAGAAUUCCCCCUUUUUGUUAUUUCUUAAGAAUAGACAAAGUUUUAUUUUUCUCAAAAUACUUUAUUCUGCCCAAUUGACAGUGUGUGUCCUGCGUAGAACUCAUAAGUUACAAACUGUUCUGUGGGACAGGGAGGUGGCCCACUGAGUAGAAGCACUUUCAGUUUUGAUCCUUGAAAUCAACAUAAAGCAUACAUCUAUAAUCCAGCACAGCUCCUGUGAGUUGGGAGGCUAAGACAGGAGAACACUGAGAAGUCUGGUGUCUAGCUAGCCUGGAAUACACAUGGCGGCAGAACUGAGAGUUUCAUCCUCAAAGCAAGGAACAAGGAAAGAAGCAACUCCUGAAAGUUAUCCUUCAACAUCACCCCCCGCCCCCCGCCACUCACACACACAGGUGUGCCCU
rnacentral:lncRNA from 1 species